rnacentral:rRNA from 1 species
GCCUGUUUAACCAAAACAUCGCUUUUUGUUUAAUAUAAAAAGUAUAACCUGCCCACUGUAAUUGAAGGGCCGCGGUAUUUUGACCGUGCAAAGGUAGCAUAAUCAUUAGUCUUUUAAUUGAGGGCUGGCAUGAAUGGUUGGAUGAGGUAAAAGCUGUCUCUUGUAUAUUAAAUAGAAUUUAGCUUUUCAGUAAAAAGGCUGAAAUGAGUCUAGAAGACGAGAAGACCCUAUAGAUCUUUAUUAAACUAUUUGUUAUUAAAAGUUGAGGUAGGAUUUUAUAAAAUUUUAAUUUAGUUGGGGUGACAAGGAAAUAAAGUAACUUUCUUAGAGGUUUCACUUAUAAGUGAUUUUAUGAUCCAUAAUUUAUGAUUAAAAGAAUAAGUUACCUUAGGGAUAACAGCAUAAUCUUUUUUGAGAGUUCUAAUCGAUAAAAGGGGUUGUGACCUCGAUGUUGGAUUAAGAUUUAUCUUAGGUGUAGUAGUUUAAGGUUAAGGUCUGUUCGACCUUUAGAAUCUUACAUGAUCUGAGUUCAAACCGGAGCUCC